rnacentral:lncRNA from 1 species
GCAAAGAGCAAAUCCUGGGUGGAGGAGAUAAACGUGUGGAGAGCCUACUGAUGAACGGGAAAGAGAGCAUGUAAUGGGUAGUGUUUUUUUUUUUUUUUAAUAAAAAUUUUGUUGAUAUAAUGAUACAAUAAGCAAUUAUAGAGGAGAAGGCCGUGAUUAUCACGGAGACCGGUUCACUUUAUUUUUAUUGAGGUGAAGAGUUGGAGAUUGUAAAGAAUGAAGGUUGAGAGCUGAAGGUAAGGUAAAUUGGUGAAGUAUAGACUUGAUAAUUUUGGAGAGUCCUGGAAGGUAUUUAUAGACGAGAGUUUUGUGUAAUACGAUGUUAAGUGUUAGACUAAUUUUAUAAUUAUCAUUAUGGAAUGUGUAAUGUGUGGUAUAAAUGUCAUCGAUAGGAUGAGAAUGUCUGUAAUAAAAUAAAUUUUAUCAUUUAUUCAGACUCGAUGACUUGGAACUUAUUCGAAUGGUAAUGGUUGUGGUGGGUGAGUUCUAGAUUUGUUGCCCAUCGUCUUGUUGUUGGAGUAUCCUUUUUACUUACUACGUGGCCUCACACUAAAUCUCACAGAACUUGAUGUUAUAUUCUGUUUUGAAAGUAGCUUCUAUUGAAGUAUAUAAGGUGCCUAGGCAAUAUUUCUCUAACUAAAGUAGUUUGUUUUUGCAGAAAGAAAACAUUGAAGAUUUCAAAUAUUUUAGGGAGGUGGAUGUAUAAUGAUAUGAACAAGAGGGACAAUGAUCAUGUAUCGAAAUCCAUUUUUUUUUUCUGUAAAGGACAUCUAAAUCAUCUAUUUGACUCUUUUUUUUUUUCUUGUAAAUGAACUCAAUUUUAUCAACAA